AAGCACAAUCGGGGGGGGCAUUUACAAUUUACUAUGUGAAUUGGAAACUUGGUUGAUAAUGUUUUACUGUAUGGGAACAUGCUUUUGAUGAAUGAUUUCUCUCUGAUCUGCUCUCCCCCUGUAUAUCCUCUACAGACAUCUCUGGACUGGAUUCCUUCCCCUCCUGAGACAGACGGACAACAACCACACGUUUUCACCCUCGGGGAUGAAAUAUGCAACGGCUGUAAGAAGGGCCGCCACGUUCUGAAGUCCAAAGUGGCCCUACAAGCAGCGAGACAAUUACUCUUACAACAGCCAGUCAGUGGCCUGAAAUCUCCAAAGAACAAGGACAAACAGUGUCCACUGCAGGUGAGCAGCAUGGUCACUAAUCUCUCAAAUCCAUCCAUAAUACAUGGUGUCUCUGAAAGAAGAUUUCCUCUGCUCCACAAGUGUGUUUGAUUAGGCAAUGCAGUUCUGGAACCUGUCAUUGGAAUUCGCAAACCUGAGACAACCUGUCCUCAAAGCAAAGCAAGCUGUUUUAUACACAAAGAAACAAAUCGGCCUUUGCCAGCCUCUGUUUUUCCAACUUUCGAUGGUCAAGUCUCCACACAUUUUCUUAUGUCCUAUCUUUCACCAGAUGUUAUAGAAUCAGGGUCUGGGGUUAAAGACGAGAAGGUAUUAUGAAGUAUUCUUUCUUUACGCGAAGAUGAAGGUCAUGGUAUUUGCAAGUGAAAGAAGGAGGAAGUGAAACGAUCAACGAUCUCAACAUUUUUCUCCAAUUGAUCCGUAGUAUUGCAACGCCACCAGAUCCAGAGGAGACGUAUUUGCACGGCACGUCAGAUUGAACACGAGGGGUUGUUAAAGGCAGCUCAUUGGCCUCGUUGAUCCACACCUUACUGUCUAUUUCUGUUUGUCAGUGAUUUGGAGAAAGGUCACAGUCAUACUGCGUCAUCCUGCUCUUUUCUUCCUUCCUUCACUCCUCCUCUUAUUCCCUCGUUUAUUCCUGUUUAUUCCUCCUCUUAUUCCCUCGUUUAUUCCUGUUUAUUCCUCCUCUUAUUCCCUCGUUUAUUCCUGUUUAUUCCUUCUCUCCAUCCACAGUCACACAGGAUCUAUCAUUCUGCUCAUUUAGUCAAUAAUAAGACAGUUAUUUGCUCUGCUAGCUUCACAAUUAUGUGAGCCCCUUGAAAUCUGCGACUGCUUCUCAA
rnacentral:lncRNA from 1 species